GGUGCUACUUACAAACAAAAGGAUGGGAAUAUGCUCUUUUCUCAGAUUCGGGUUUUUUCUAUUCCAGAUAUGGUUCAUCUCAAGGCCAUUUACACUUUGGAGCCAGGCCUGUUCAGUUUUACAAAUAGCACAGGUUACUGUGACAACAUGAAGAGUUGAAGGUACCUCCCAGGAUGAUUGCAGAUUUUCCCGGUGGUGAGUCUCCGGCAUUCAAAGGUUCUGUUAGUGCCAUACUUGUUGGUUUACAGAGAUGGUGUGUCUGGCUGAGACCAAAGGAGCCAUGCCAGGAAAGUUAAAGCGUAUCUUCAUUUUUAAGUCCAGGCUAAAGUAAGGUCUGAGGAAAAGAAUGAGCUGCAUGAGAAAGAUAGGAACAGAUCAUCAAAUCUGAUUGUCCGGGCCAGUGUUGCAUCAUAACAGGCCACUUUAAAAUGAAGUGAAAUUGACAAUUGUGAAUUUAACCUUCC
rnacentral:lncRNA from 1 species